GAUGAACGCUGGCGGCGUGCCUAAUACAUGCAAGUCGAGCGAACAGACGAGGAGCUUGCUCCUCUGACGUUAGCGGCGGACGGGUGAGUAACACGUGGAUAACCUACCUAUAAGACUGGGAUAACUUCGGGAAACCGGAGCUAAUACCGGAUAAUAUGUUGAACCGCAUGGUUCAAUAGUGAAAGACGGUUUUGCUGUCACUUAUAGAUGGAUCCGCGCCGCAUUAGCUAGUUGGUAAGGUAACGGCUUACCAAGGCAACGAUGCGUAGCCGACCUGAGAGGGUGAUCGGCCACACUGGAACUGAGACACGGUCCAGACUCCUACGGGAUGCAGCAGUAGGGAAUCUUCCGCAAUGGGCGAAAGCCUGACGGAGCAACGCCGCGUGAGUGAUGAAGGUCUUCGGAUCGUAAAACUCUGUUAUUAGGGAAGAACAAAUGUGUAAGUAACUAUGCACGUCUUGACGGUACCUAAUCAGAAAGCCACGGCUAACUACGUG
rnacentral:rRNA from 1 species